AGAGUUUGAUCCUGGCUCAGGAUGAACGCUAGCUACAGGCUUAACACAUGCAAGUCGAGGGGCAUCAGGAAGAAAGCUUGCUUUCUUUGCUGGCGACCGGCGCACGGGUGAGUAACACGUAUCCAACCUGCCCUUUACUCGGGGAUAGCCUUUCGAAAGAAAGAUUAAUACCCGAUAGCAUAAUGAUUCCGCAUGGUUUCAUUAUUAAAGGAUUCCGGUAAAGGAUGGGGAUGCGUUCCAUUAGGUUGUUGGUGAGGUAACGGCUCACCAAGCCUUCGAUGGAUAGGGGUUCUGAGAGGAAGGUCCCCCACAUUGGAACUGAGACACGGUCCAAACUCCUACGGGAGGCAGCAGUGAGGAAUAUUGGUCAAUGGGCGCUAGCCUGAACCAGCCAAGUAGCGUGAAGGAUGAAGGCUCUAUGGGUCGUAAACUUCUUUUAUAUAAGAAUAAAGUGCAGUAUGUAUACUGUUUUGUAUGUAUUAUAUGAAUAAGGAUCGGCUAACUCCGUGCCAGCAGCCGCGGUAAUACGGAGGAUCCGAGCGUUAUCCGGAUUUAUUGGGUUUAAAGGGAGCGUAGGUGGACUGGUAAGUCAGUUGUGAAAGUUUGCGGCUCAACCGUAAAAUUGCAGUUGAUACUGUCAGUCUUGAGUACAGUAGAGGUGGGCGGAAUUCGUGGUGUAGCGGUGAAAUGCUUAGAUAUCACGAAGAACUCCGAUUGCGAAGGCAGCUCACUGGACUGCAACUGACACUGAUGCUCGAAAGUGUGGGUAUCAAACAGGAUUAGAUACCCUGGUAGUCCACACAGUAAACGAUGAAUACUCGCUGUUUGCGAUAUACAGUAAGCGGCCAAGCGAAAGCAUUAAGUAUUCCACCUGGGGAGUACGCCGGCAACGGUGAAACUCAAAGGAAUUGACGGGGGCCCGCACAAGCGGAGGAACAUGUGGUUUAA
rnacentral:rRNA from 1 species